AUUGAACGCUGGCGGCAGGCCUAACACAUGCAAGUCGAACGGCAGCACAGAAGAGCUUGCUCUUUGGGUGGCGAGUGGCGGACGGGUGAGUAAUGUCUGGGAAACUGCCCGAUGGAGGGGGAUAACUACUGGAAACGGUAGCUAAUACCGCAUAACGUCGCAAGACCAAAGUGGGGGACCUUCGGGCCUCACACCAUCGGAUGUGCCCAGAUGGGAUUAGCUAGUAGGUGGGGUAAUGGCUCACCUAGGCGAUGAUCCCUAGCUGGUCUGAGAGGAUGACCAGCCACACUGGAACUGAGACACGGUCCAGACUCCUACGGGAGGCAGCAGUGGGGAAUAUUGCACAAUGGGCGCAAGCCUGAUGCAGCCAUGCCGCGUGUAUGAAGAAGGCCUUCGGGUUGUAAAGUACUUUCAGCGGGGAGGAAGGCGGUGAGGUUAAUAACCUUGCCGAUUGACGUUACCCGCAGAAGAAGCACCGGCUAACUCCGUGCCAGCCGCCGCUGUAA
rnacentral:rRNA from 1 species